UCCUACGGGAGGCAGCAGUGAGGAAUAUUGGGCAAUGGAGGCAACUCUGACCCAGCCAUGCCGCGUGCAGGAAGACUGCCCUAUGGGUUGUAAACUGCUUUUAUACAGGAAGAAACACACCUACGUGUAGGUGCUUGACGGUACUGUAAGAAUAAGCACCGGCUAACUCCGUGCCAGCAGCCGCGGUAAU
rnacentral:rRNA from 1 species